AAAUUGAUCCUGGCUUUCGGGAAUAUUAUUCUGCCUCUCUCACUGGCGGCAGCCUGGUCUGCAUAUCGGACUGCGAUGUUGAUGCAAAAAGAUUUUUAAAUUGUUACAGCGGCAACUGUCAGAUAACGAAAUAUAUUGGGCCUCAGUGUCUCUGCCCUGAAACAGACAUCUACUUAUACACAACACACGACUGUCGAGGGAAGAUUCCAAAAACUGCUGUGUAUGGGGGUGUCGGAGCCGCCGUGGCUGCCCUAGUCAUUAUUAUUGCCGUCAUUGGGCUGUUUCUGUUUAGAGCCAGAAGACCAAAGAAACAGGAGGCCUUUGCCAAGGAUGAUGAUGAUGAUGAUAAGUGGAGUGUGGGCAGUCAGGAUCUGUGGAACAUUAACAGUGGUUUCAAUACAAAUCAAGGAGAAUAUGAAUAUACCCAGUCAAACAGCAAUCUUUCCAUAAGUACCUUCAGGCCUUCGUUGGAUAAUGUAGACACAUCAAUCCGGGUGAAGAUACAAAGACCAGUUAUCUCCUCUGCUUGAAUGUCAAGCAAAUCCUGCUGACAGAAAUGAAAUGAGAACAAUGCUAUAAUACUGAGACUUUCACAAUGUUCAAAGGAGAUCCCAUGGGAUCUGGGGCAAUCUGUAUUACAAUCUGCCCUAUUGGAUACUGUUCUAGACCAACGUUUCAAGACUUCACCAGGGUGGUGGAGGUUGAUGAGAAGAUCAUUUGCACUGAGAAAAACCUGCUUUUGUUCCAAGACUUUAUUCUUCUUUAUCCUGGACCCAUAGUCAAGAUACGAGUCCUCAAAUUAUGGUCCUGCUCUCUAAAAUAGCUUUCCUUCUUCCUCCACACAUUAGCAGUCCUUUACCCUUCUACUAUGUCUUCCUGUUGGUCUGAGAUGCCUGAGCCGAAUAGAACAACAACUGUUCUUUAUACUAGUCCCAGUCCCUGCCACCAUCUUGCUUAGAAUCUACCUUAACCUGGCCACUCCCCAAUCAUUAUGCUUAUCAUGUGCUGUAUAUUUUCUGUAAUCAAAAUUGUUUUCCCUUGACGAAUGAAGUGCUUUUAUUUAUUAAUGUAAUGUCUGAUAUACAGUAUGUUCUUUAAAUAUGUGCUAUUUAAGGCAAUGUCCAGGAUCAGCUCCACAGAAUGGAUGAAGGUUAGUUAAUCUUGAGGUGCCCAGACGUUGGGUACUUUUGAGAGUUAAGAUCCCCAUACACGGGCCAA